UACGGGAGGUGCAAGCGUUGUUCGGAGUGACUGGGCGUAAAGCGCACGUAGGCGGGUUAGUAUGUCGAAUGUGAAAUCCCCGGGCUUAACCUGGGAAUGGCAUUCGAAACUGCAAAUCUUGAAUACCUCAGAGGUUGGUGGAAUUCCUGGUGUAGGAGUGAAAUCCGUAGAUAUCAGGAGGAACAUCGGAGGCGAAGGCGGCCAACUGGGAGAGUAUUGACGCUGAGGUGCGAAAGCGUGGGGAGCAAACAGG
rnacentral:rRNA from 1 species